AACGAACGCUGGCGGCAGGCCUAACACAUGCAAGUCGAACGUGAAGCCACCUUCGGGUGGUGGAAAGUGGCAGACGGGUGAGUAACGCGUGGGAAUCUACCCAGUGGUACGGAAUAACCCAGGGAAACUUGGGCUAAUACCGUAUGUGCCCGAAAGGGGAAAGAUUUAUCGCCAUUGGAUGAGCCCGCGUCUGAUUAGCUAGUUGGUGGGGUAAUGGCCCACCAAGGCGACGAUCAGUAGCUGGUCUGAGAGGAUGAUCAGCCACACUGGGACUGAGACACGGCCCAGACUCCUACGGGAGGCAGCAGUGGGGAAUAUUGGACAAUGGGCGAAAGCCUGAUCCAGCCAUGCCGCGUGAGUGAUGAAGGCCCUAGGGUUGUAAAGCUCUUUCGGCGGGGACGAUAAUGACGGUACCCGCAGAAGAAGCCCCGGCUAACUUCGUGCCAGCAGCCGCGGUAACAC
rnacentral:rRNA from 1 species